GGUUCAUCGUGUCUAUGUGUUUUCAAAGCUAUUUUUGUCAACUUGCAGGGAUUAAAGUGCGGGGAAAAGUAGAAGAGAAAGCCAAAUUCGCUGUUUACGCCUUACUUUUAACUUCAAUUGUCAUCGGCAAACGUCAAGAUUUACAGAAAAAUUACAAACGGCAGUCUCAUUCAUAUUUGUAAUUGGAGUAACCUAGGUAAUAUCAAAAACAAGUUUAAUGGUAGGGCUUGAACUGAUCUUGUAAGUGGUUUGUUUGCUUUUUGUUUUUCGUUUCUUCCUAGUAAAUUUGAGUCCCAACUCUACAAUAAAUGUGGCCGGUAAAAAAAAAAGGGCUAGUACUUUCUAUGUUGACCGGAAAAUGCUUAAUUGCUUGACAAGAUUCACAGAAUAAAUAUGUCAAAGCAAUCUUUUUCGCCGUCGAUUGCCGACUUUUUGUGGGACAUUUGUGGGACCACAUGGCUGCUAUUGCAUCAUCUCUUUCCUGAUUGGCUAUUCGUGCGCGCGUGAUUGACAUGUCGGAUCUAUGAAUUUGAAUAGGUUCCCGCAGGCGCUCACUAUCGGGGGUUUUUGGCGUCUGGAAAACCUAGUUUGCUUUAAAUAUCCGACAAAAUGAAUGGGUUAGCGCUGAAGAUGAGGAUGUCUAAUACUAUUAUGCCGAAUUUGGUGGAGCUACGUGUUAAAUAUCAUGCUACUGCUACCCCCAAGUGUUUCGUCUUUCAUUGCAUCGAGUUGAGGGAAUUGGCUGUGCCUAUCUCAUCUUAACAUGGAAUCCUCUGUAACAAUUAUGUAGACCAUGGAAUAGCUUGUUACUCAGUUCAAGGUGACUCCCUUGCAAAGCUUACAAUCUUCCAGACCAGAUGAUGUGGACUUGUCAACAAACUCAUCAGACAGUGGAGAAGUACCACCACAUGUUCAAGAUGCCAUGAAUAGAAGACUAAAAAUACGGCAGUAGACUGGCAAUCUUGCCGCGAAGUCUGCUAAACUGUUCAAAUUGACGAAAGUCUCUUCGGAAAAAGAAAGAAUCAUCGCGGCCACGAGGUCAAAGGUCAGUGGUUCUUCGGCGGAAUAGAGGAAGAUUCCAGAAAAUGUUUUAUGCAGAGCAACGCUCAGAGGGAGUAUUAUUAUCAUUGUUCAAGAAAUGGAUCGAGCCCGAGACAACGAUAAUUUCGAAUUGUUGGAGAUAAUACAUAAACCUAGAGAAGCACGGAUACAUCCAUGACACUGUGAACCACUCGACCGAAUUUGUUAACGAAUAUGGAGAACACACAAGGACACUGGCAAAGGCGCGACUGCCGUGGCGAUUAAUGCAGAAAGAUAAUGACUUAUUCACUUUUUAAAUGAUGAUGUCAAGAAAAUGUACCCAUGUGAAUAAAUACAAUGUAAAGAAUAUCCAAAUAAACAUAACUCCGUUCUCUAAUCCUCAAAA